rnacentral:misc_RNA from 1 species
GUUUAAUCCUUGGAUUCUGCCCCACAGGAACAUGUUAGUCUUUCGAAAAUGUGAACAGCUUCUUUGCAGAUUCUUCUUCAUUGAUUUCCAUGAUUUGAUCACUAGAGUUUCCCCCUCUGCUGUAAAUGCGCUCACUGUUAGUCUUCUUCUCUCCACAUCUUGUGUGUGUGUAUAUAUAUAUGUAAAAACCAUAAUCAUUGACUAAAAAGAGAAAGAAAAACAAAAAUCUAAUCCAAGAUUGAAGAAGAAAUUGGGAAGAAAAGGUAAG